rnacentral:rRNA from 1 species
UACGUAGGGUGCGAGCGUUAAUCGGAAUUACUGGGCGUAAAGCGUGCGCAGGCGGUUCGCCAAGUCAGGUGUGAAAUCCCCGGGCUUAACCUGGGAAUUGCGCUUGAAACUAGCGGGCUUGAGUGUGGCAGAGGGGGGUGGAAUUCCACGUGUAGCAGUGAAAUGCGUAGAGAUGUGGAGGAACACCGAUGGCGAAGGCGGCGCUCUGGGCCUUACCUGACGCUCAGGCGCGAAAGCUAGGGGAGCGAACAGG